rnacentral:misc_RNA from 1 species
GAUGAAGAACGUAGCGAAAUGCGAUACUUGGUGUGAAUUGCAGAAUCCCGUGAACCAUCGAGUCUUUGAACGCAAGUUGCGCCCGAAGCCGUCAGGCCGAGGGCACGCCUGCCUGGGCGUCACACGCCGUUGCCCCCCCCGCGCCCCGCACCCAACUCUUUGGGAGCGACCGCGGGGCGGGCUGAUGAUGGCCUCCCGUGCGCUCCGCCGCGCGGUUGGCCCAAAUACCGAGUCCCCGGCGACGUGCGCCAAGACGAUCGGUGGUUGAGAGACCUCUGUCGCAAGUCGUGCGCGCCCGUCGCGUCACGCGGGCUCGCAUAGCGCCUCGCGCCGCACCCGGUGCGGAGCUUUCAACGCGACCCCAGGUCAGGCGGGGUUACCCGCUGAAUUUAAGCAUAUCAAUAAGCGGAGGA